UGGUAAUUCUAGAGCUAAUACAUGCUAAAAACCCCGACUUCGGAAGGGGUGUAUUUAUUAGAUAAAAAACCAAUGCCCUUCGGGGCUCUCUGGUGAAUCAUAAUAACUUAACGAAUCGCAUGGCCUUGCGCCGGCGAUGGUUCAUUCAAAUUUCUGCCCUAUCAACUUUCGAUUGUAGGAUAGAGGCCUACAAUGGUAUCAACGGGUAACGGGGAAUUAGGGUUCGAUUCCGGAGAGGGAGCCUGAGAAACGGCUACCACAUCCAAGGAAGGCAGCAGGCGCGCAAAUUACCCAAUCCCGACACGGGGAGGUAGUGACAAUAAAUACUGAUACAGGGCUCUUUUGGGUCUUGUAAUUGGAAUGAGUACAAUCUAAAUCCCUUAACGAGGAACAAUUGGAGGGCAAGUCUGGUGCCAGCAGCCGCGGUAAUUCCAGCUCCAAUAGCGUAUAUUAAAGUUGUUGCAGUUAAAAAGCUCGUAGUUGAACCUUGGGCCUGGCUGGCCGGUCCGCCUCACCGCGUGCACUGGUUCGGCCGGGCCUUUCCUUCUGGGGAGCCGCAUGCCCUUUACUGGGCGUGUCGGGGAACCAGGACUUUUACUUUGAAAAAAUUAGAGUGUUCAAAGCAGGCCUUCGCUCGAAUACAUUAGCAUGGAAUAAUAGAAUAGGACGUGUGGUUCUAUUUUGUUGGUUUCUAGGACCGCCGUAA
rnacentral:rRNA from 1 species